rnacentral:rRNA from 1 species
UCCUACGGGGCGCAGCAGUAGGGAAUCUUUCACAAUGGGCGAAAGCCUGAUGGAGCAACGCCGCGUGCAGGAUGAAGGCCUUCGGGUUGUAAACUGCUUUUAUAAGCGAGAAAUAUGAUGGUAACUUAUGAAUAAGGAUCGGCUAACUCCGUGCCAGCAGCCGCGGUAAUACGGAGGAUUCAAGCGUUAUCCGGAUUUAUUGGGUUUAAAGGGUGCGUAGGCGGUUCGAUAAGUUAGAGGUGAAAUCCCGGGGCUCAACUCCGGCACUGCCUCUGAUACUGUCGGGCUAGAGUUUAGUUGCGGUA